AGGAGGAGUUGCUGCUGCCCCUUCAAGAGGAAGUCGUCUGCUGGCAGUGAUACUUUCCUCACUCCUGGUUCCCUUGGACUGACUGUCUGCUAGGAGCACGAGAUACUCUGUUUUAAAGGCUCUGGGACUUUGAAAAAAAGACCUGUGACAAUACCUCACCCAGUGGGACUUCGCAAUCCUCCUGCAGUACAAAUAUACAACUGCUCAAAGCCAGGCAACCCCUGUGUAGAGGAGAUGGAGACCAUGAUUAACAGUGCCCUCUCGUGACUGAUGGAACAAAAAACCCUGGUUAUAAACCCUCUGGUCCCCUUGAUGAGAUGUAUUACAUCAGCAGAGUGCUUUGAAGAAGA